rnacentral:rRNA from 1 species
UACGAAGGGGGCUAGCGUUGCUCGGAAUCACUGGGCGUAAAGGGUGCGUAGGCGGGGCUUUAAGUCAGGGGUGAAAUCCUGGAGCUCAACUCCAGAACUGCCUUUGAUACUGGGGAUCUCGAGUCCGGGAGAGGUGAGUGGAACUCCGAGUGUAGAGGUGAAAUUCGUAGAUAUUCGGAAGAACACCAGUGGCGAAGGCGGCUCACUGGCCCGGUACUGACGCUGAGGUGCGAAAGCGUGGGGAGCAAACAGG